CAGCAGCCGCGGUAAUACGUAGGUGGCAAGCGUUAUCCGGAAUUAUUGGGCGUAAAGCGCGCGUAGGCGGUUUCUUAAGUCUGAUGUGAAAGCCCACGGCUCAACCGUGGAGGGUCAUUGGAAACUGGGAAACUUGAGUGCAGAAGAGGAAAGUGGAAUUCCAUGUGUAGCGGUGAAAUGCGCAGAGAUAUGGAGGAACACCAGUGGCGAAGGCGACUUUCUGGUCUUAACUGACGCUGAUGUGCGAAAGCGUGGGGAUCAAACAGGAUUAGAUACCCUGGUAGUCCACGCCGUAAACGAUGAGUGCUAAGUGUUAGGGGGUUUCCGCCCCUUAGUGCUGCAGCUAACGCAUUAAGCACUCCGCCUGGGGAGUACGACCGCAAGGU
rnacentral:rRNA from 1 species